rnacentral:rRNA from 1 species
UGGCUCAGAUUGAACGCUGGCGGCAGGCCUAACACAUGCAAGUCGAGCGGUAGCACAGAGAGCUUGCUCUCGGGUGACGAGCGGCGGACGGGUGAGUAAUGUCUGGGAAACUGCCUGAUGGAGGGGGAUAACUACUGGAAACGGUAGCUAAUACCGCAUAACGUCGCAAGACCAAAGUGGGGGACCUUCGGGCCUCAUGCCAUCAGAUGUGCCCAGAUGGGAUUAGCUAGUAGGUGGGGUAACGGCUCACCUAGGCGACGAUCCCUAGCUGGUCUGAGAGGAUGACCAGCCACACUGGAACUGAGACACGGUCCAGACUCCUACGGGAGGCAGCAGUGGGGAAUAUUGCACAAUGGGCGCAAGCCUGAUGCAGCCAUGCCGCGUGUGUGAAGAAGGCCUUCGGGUUGUAAAGCACUUUCAGCGGGGAGGAAGGCGAUAAGGUUAAUAACCUUGUCGAUUGACGUUACCCGCAGAAGAAGCACCGGCUAACUCCGUGCCAGCAGCCGCGGUAAUACGGAGGGUGCAAGCGUUAAUCGGAAUUACUGGGCGUAAAGCGCACGCAGGCGGUCUGUCAAGUCGGAUGUGAAAUCCCCGGGCUCAACCUGGGAACUGCAUUCGAAACUGGCAGGCUAGAGUCUUGUAGAGGGGGGUAGAAUUCCAGGUGUAGCGGUGAAAUGCGUAGAGAUCUGGAGGAAUACCGGUGGCGAAGGCGGCCCCCUGGACAAAGACUGA